rnacentral:rRNA from 1 species
AAAUCCUACGGGGGGCAGCAGUGGGGGAUAUUGCACAAUGGGGGAAACCCUGAUGCAGCGACGCCGCGUGGGUGAAGAAGCGCCUCUGCGCGUAAAGCCCUGUCAGCAGGGAAGAAAAUGACGGUACCUGAAGAAGAAGCCCCGGCUAACUACGUGCCAGCAGCCGCGGUAAUACGUAGGGGGCAAGCGUUAUCCGGAUUUACUGGGUGUAAAGGGGGCGCAGACGGCGAUGCAAGCCAGGAGUGAAAGCCCGGGGCCCAACCCCGUGACUGCUCUUGCACCUGCGUGGCUAGAG